GAGCGGCAGACGGGAUAGUAACACGUGGGAACGUACCUUUCAGUUCGGAACAACCAAGGGAAACUUUGGCUAAUACCGAAUACGCCCGUAAGGGGAAAGAUUUAUCGCUGAAAGAUCGGCCCGCGUCUGAUUAGCUAGUUGGUGAGGUAAUGGCUCACCAAGGCGACGAUCAGUAGCUGGUCUGAGAGGAUGAUCAGCAUCACUGGGACUGAGACACGGCCCAGACUCCUACGGGAGGCAGCAGUGGGGAAUAUUGGACAAUGGGCGCAAGCCUGAUCCAGCCAUGCCGCGUGAGUGAUGAAGGCCUUAGGGUUGUAAAGCUCUUUCGUCAGGGAAGAUAAUGACGGUACCUGAAGAAGAAGCCCCGGCUAACUUCGUGCCAGCAGCCGCGGUAAUACGAAGGGGGCUAGCGUUGCUCGGAAUCACUGGGCGUAAAGCGCACGUAGGCGGCUUUCUAAGUCAGGGGUGAAAUCCUGGAGCUCAACUCCAGAACUGCCUUUGAUACUGGAGAGCUUGAGUUCGGGAGAGGUGAGUGGAACUGCGAGUGUAGAGGUGAAAUUCGUAGAUAUUCGCAAGAACACCAGUGGCGAAGGCGGCUCACUGGCCCGAUACUGACGCUGAGGUGCG
rnacentral:rRNA from 1 species